AGGGGUACGAUGAUUGGAGCUUGCUCCGAUUGAUGACGACCGGCGCACGGGUCGAGUAACGCGUAUCCAACCCUGCCCCACUGCUCUCGGGGAGUAACCUUCCGAAAAGGGAGCCUAAUACCGGAUGUUGUGCGACGAUGGCAUCAGAAUUGCACGAAAGAUUCAUCGGCAUGGGAUGGGGAUGCGUCUGAUUAGCUUGUUGGCGGGGUAACGGCCCACCAAGGCGACGAUCAGUAGGGGUUCUGAGAGGAAGGUCCCCCACACUGGUACUGAGACACGGACCAGACUCCUACGGGAGGCAGCAGUGAGGAAUAUUGGUCAAUGGACGCGAGUCUGAACCAGCCAAGUAGCGUGCAGGACGACGGCCCUACGGGUUGUAAACUGCUUUUAUGAGGGGAUAAAGUCGACCACGUGUGGCCGUUUGCAGGUACCUCAUGAAUAAGGACCGGCUAAUUCCGUGCC
rnacentral:rRNA from 1 species